rnacentral:rRNA from 1 species
AGCGAACGCUGGCGGCAGGCCUAACACACGCAAGUCGAACGGAUCCUUCGGGAUUAGUGGCGGACGGGUGAGUAACACGUGGGAACGUGCCCUUUGGUUCGGAACAACUCAGGGAAACUUGAGCUAAUACGGGAUGUGCCCGUCGGGGGACAGAGUUAUCGCCCUUGGUGCGGCCCGCGUCUAAUUAGCUAGUUGGUAGGGUAAAGGCCCACCAAGGCGACGAUCAGUAGCUGGUCUGAGAGGAUGAUCAGCCACAUUGGGACUGAGACACGGCCCAAACUCCUACGGGAGGCGGCAGUGGGGAAUCUUGCGCAAUGGGCGAAAGCCUGACGCAGCCAUGCCGCGUGAAUGAUGAAGGUCUUAGGAUUGUAAAAUUCUUUCACCGGGGACGAUAAUGACGGUACCCGGAGAAGAAGCCCCGGCUAACUUCGUGCCAGCCGCCGCGGUAAGAC